AAUAGAUACCCGGGUAGUCCACGCCGUAAACGAUGAGUGCUAAGUGUUAGGGGGUUUCCGCCCCUUAGUGCUGCAGCUAACGCAUUAAGCACUCCGCCUGGGGAGUACGGCCGCAAGGCUGAAACUCAAAGGAAUUGACGGGGGCCCGCACAAGCGGUGGAGCAUGUGGUUUAAUUCGAAGCAACGCGAAGAACCUUACCAGGUCUUGACAUCCUCUGACAACUCUAGAGAUAGAGCGUUCCCCUUCGGGGGACAGAGUGACAGGUGGUGCAUGGUUGUCGUCAGCUCGUGUCGUGAGAUGUUGGGUUAAGUCCCGCAACGAGCGCAACCCUUGAUCUUAGUUGCCAGCAUUCAGUUGGGCACUCUAAGGUGACUGCCGGUGACAAACCGGAGGAAGGUGGGGAUGACGUCAAAUCAUCAUGCCCCUUAUGACCUGGGCUACACACGUGCUACAAUGGACGGUACAAAGAGUCGCAAGACCGCGAGGUGGAGCUAAUCUCAUAAAACCGUUCUCAGUUCGGA
rnacentral:rRNA from 1 species